rnacentral:lncRNA from 1 species
ACUACUCCUAGAGUAAGUGACAGAAGACUUGGUGAUUGAUACCCGAGGUUCUAAGUUCGAAUUCUAAUUAAUUCACAUUUACAGCUAAGUUUAUUUCAAAUAAAAUAAACGAAAUGGACAACGUGCUAUCUAUCUCUCAAAAAAAAACAUGAGAGCGCCAUGUUGGAUUUUAACUGGAGCUUCUAUUUCUAUAAUAACAAUAAUAUACAUAUAUAUUAUUAUAGUUUAGAUUGCGUCUAUCGAAUUAAAUUGUAUAAUUUUGAAAUAUCAUAUUUUAAAAAAUUAAGUUAAGGUGAAAUGUUUCGUAUAUUGGGUGUAAAAAUAAAUUUUGUAU